AUGGCCUCCAACGCCCUUCAUCUUUUCCCCUGCCGCAUUCCAACCACUCUCCGAGGUAACUUGACGUCGUGUUUCUCCAUUAAUCCAUCUAGGAUGACUAGAAGCAGGUUAGCUUUCAACACACGGCGCCACACCAUGUCUUGCAGUUCCGAAAAUGGAGAGAACCAGAGCCAGCCUUUGGAAGAAGAGAGUGUGAGCCUAAAGCAUUUUAUUGAGCAAGCCAAGGAUCUUGUCACAUCCGACGCCGGACAGCCUCACUGGUUCUCACCUUCAGACUGCGGCCACCCUUUACCCGAUCCCCCCCUGCCGGGAAUUGAUGGCACUGGACUUGGGCUUAUAAUGCAUCAUCAGAAACUUGGAGAGAUUUUUGAGGUCUUGUGCUUGCAUAUUCCUCCCAAGCUGAUCGAACACCAUUUGCAGACUUGGUGAAGCUGGUUGAGAAAAAAAUUCGGCCAGAGCAUCACCGCACACCUAAUAGACCAAUAUAUCUUGUUGGAGAAUCUCUUGGAGCAUGCCUUGCUCUAUCUGUGGCAUCCCUUAACCCUGAUAUCGACCUUGUUCUGCUCUUAGCAAAUCCUGCAACGUCCUUCAGCAAGUCACCACUUCAACCCAUAUUACCAUUACUGCAGAUCAUGCCUGACUUACUAUCCAAACUUAGUCUUCCUCUUGUACUAAGUUCAAUGGCAGGUGAUUUCUUUGUUUCAUUUACUAGUGUAAUGAUGGCUGAUUUAGAGAAGGGAGUUGGAAGUCUGUCGUGAGAUUUCGUUGCACAAUCAAUAUCUUACCUCUCUGUUUUUGCUGAUAUCUUGCCCCUAGAAACACUUCUGUGGAAACUACAAAUGAUUAGUUCAGCUUCAUCGUAUGCCAAUUCACGCCUCCAUGCUGUAAAAGUUCAAACCUUGAUACUAUCCAGUGGAAGGGAUCUAUUGCUGCGUAGUAAACAGGAAGGUCUGAGACUCCGACGGUUGCUUGCGAAUUCUGAGAUCUGUACAUUUGAACACUGUGGCCAUUUCCUCUUCUUGGAAGAUGCUUUUGAUUUGGUAACUGUUAUCAAGCAGGUUGGUGUCUAUCGUAGUUCAAAAGAACGAGAUUUUGUUUUAGACUACAUACCACCAUCACCUUCCGAAUUAAAAAGUCUUCUGGACAAAUACAAAUGGAUGAACAUAAUUAUGAGCCCAGUGAUGCUCUCAACUUUAGCAGACGGGGAAGUAGUGAGGGGCUUUGCUGGGAUUCCUUCAGAUGGUCCUGUAGUGUAUGUAGGUAAUCACAUGUUAUUCAGAUUUGAUGUGUUUCCAUUGGUAGCGCAGUUGUCAGAACAAAAAGGCAUUCAUCUGCGAGGGCUAGCACAUCCAGUUAUGUUCAUGAAAUGGAAACAAAGAAAGUCAAUGGAAGUACCAUUUUCCGAUGAUUUCAGACUUGUGGGCGCUGUUCCAGUCUCCGGAAAAAACCUUUUCAGGCUGCUCUCCACAAAGUCUCAUAUCCUACUCUAUCCUGGUGGAGUGCGUGAGGCUUUCCACAGGAAGGGGGAAGCAUACAAGUUAUUCUGGCCGGAACGGUCAGAGUUUGUGAGAAUGGCUGCUAGAUUUGGAGCGAAAAUCGUACCGUUUGGUACGAUUGGGGAAGAUGAUUUUUGUGAUAUAUUAUACGAUUAUGAAGACCAAAUUAAAACACCUUUCCUCAAGAAAUUUAUAGAUGAAUUAACUGGUGUAGCUGGAAAAGUGAGGACUACCGUUGAUGGGGAGGUUGGAAACCAAGAUGUAUACUUCCCAGGAUUUGUACCAAAAUCUCUCGGUCGGUUUUACUAUCAAUUUGGGAAACCAAUUGAAACAGAAGGGAGGAAGGAGGAAUUACGAGACAGGGAGCUCACGAAUUGUAUUUACAAGUGAAAUUAGAGGUUGAGAAAUGCAUUGCUAAUUUGCAGGAAAGAAGAGAGUGAUCCUUAAUUACAGAAGCCUUGUGUCUCGGCUACUGUACCAAGCCAGACAUGGCUUUACAUCUGAAGUUCCUGCAUUUGACCUCGAUUAA